rnacentral:lncRNA from 1 species
AAAACAAUUUGAAUGAUUCAAAGAUUCAAAUCCUUCUGGCACACACUUAGAUUUCAUUUUUUGACAUAUAUUGAUCAAUGCAGUUGUUAAGUACUUUUGUGGCACAAAAGCAGGAUUGUAAUUCCAUGUGCAAAAAUCAAAUUUUUUUCCGAAAAUGCCCAAGUUUGUUCUUAUUUUCAAAAAAAAGUUUCAGUUUAGUAUGAAGUGUGUCUUUUCUUCAAUGUCGUUUUAAUUUAAAACAUUCACA